UACGGAGGGUGCAAGCGUUAUCCGGAUUCACUGGGUUUAAAGGGUGCGUAGGAGGGCAGGUAAGUCAGUGGUGAAAUCCCCGAGCUUAACUUGGGAACUGCCAUUGAUACUAUCAGUCUUGAAUACUGUGGAGGUUAGCGGAAUAUGUCAUGUAGCGGUGAAAUGCUUAGAUAUGACAUAGAACACCAAUUGCGAAGGCAGCUGGCUACACAAUUAUUGACACUGAGGCUCGAAAGCGUGGGGAUCAAACAGG
rnacentral:rRNA from 1 species